UGAGAUAGUUCAGUCAGGAGAACAUGACGCUGUUAAUCUCAGGGUUGUGGGUUUGAGCCCCACAUUGGGUAAAAA